rnacentral:rRNA from 1 species
CCCUUAGAUGUUCUGGGCCGCACACGCGCUACACUGAAGGAGGCAGCGUGUACUCCUGGAUCGAAAGAUUUGGGUAACCCGCGAAUCUCCUUCGUGCUAGGGAUUGAGGUUUGCAAUUAUCCUUCAUGAACGAGGAAUUCCCAGUAAGUGCAAGUCAUAAGCUUGCGCUGACUACGUCCCUGCCCUUUGUACACACCGCCCGUCGCUACUACCGAUUGAAUGGUCCGGUGAAGCGUUUGGACUAUGGUUUUCUGACGGUUCGCCAUUGGAUUACCGUGGGAAAUUCGUUAAACCUUAUCAUUUAGAGGAAGGAGAANUCGUAACA